AUGUUGAUGUUUGAAGCGUCUGGCCAGCAGGCGAGCAUUGUCAAGGGACUGUUGAACACUUAUACUUCAGCAACGGGUCAGCUCAUUAACCCAGAGAAGUGUUCCAUUCUUUUUUCAGACAACUGUUCGACUGUGGAGGCAGAUGAGAUCAAGCGCAUACUUGAGGUUACGCAACAGGUGUUUGAGCCAAAGUAUCUUGGUCUUCCGGUUCCGGAAGGGAGAAUGCAUAAGGGACAAUUUGAAUCAUUACAAGAAAGAUUGAGAAAAAGAUUAAUCGAUUGGAGUGAGCAAUAUGUCUCGUCGGGCAAUAAAGAAAUCUUGAUCAAGGCGGUGGCACAAGCAAUUCCCACGUAUGUUAUGAGUGUGUUCCGGCUACCGGCCUCUGUGUGUGAUGAUCUAACACGUAUGAUGAGACAGUAUUGGUGGGGUGUUGAACAAGGCAAGAGGAAGAUGGCUUGGCUUAGCUGGGAGAAGAUGAUUCUGCCCAAGGACAUGGGAGGUAUGGGAUUCAGAGAUAUGAGGGCGUUUAACCAGGCUUUACUGGCCAAGCAAGCCUGGAGAUUGCUCGAUAGCCCGGACAGCUUAUGUGCACGCCUACUCCGGGCUAAAUACUAUCCCAAUGGAAAUCUUCUCGAUACAGUCUUCCCUUCUAGCUCGUCCGCUGUGUGGAAGGGAAUCUUGUUUGGACUUGAACUGCUA
rnacentral:rRNA from 1 species